rnacentral:rRNA from 1 species
UGGGGAAUCUUGCACAAUGGACGAAAGUCUGAUGCAGCGAUUCCGCGUGGAGGAUGACGCAUUACGGUGUGUAAACUCCUUUUUUGGUGGAAGACGAAUGACGGUACACCAAGAAUAAGGGACGGCUAACUACGUGCCAGCAGCCGCGGUAAUACGUAGGUCCCAAGCGUUAUCCGGAUUUACUGGGCGUAAAGUGUCCGUAGCCUGAUAUAUAAGUCUGUUUUUAAAUAUCACGACUCAAUCGUGAAAAGGGAAUAGAUACUGUGUAUCUAGAGAAUAUUGGAGGUUAGUGGAAUUUCCGGUGGAGCGGUGAAAUGUGUUGAUAUCGGAAAGAACGCCGAAAGCGAAAGCAGCUAACUAUGAUACUUCUGACGGUGAUGGACGAAAGCUUGAGUAGCAAACG